GAUGAACGCUAGCGGCAGGCUUAACACAUGCAAGUCGAGGGGUAUGCUUCUUCGGAAGCAGAGACCGGCGCACGGGUGCGUAACGCGUAUGCAAUCUACCUUUUACAGAGGGAUAGCCCAGAGAAAUUUGGAUUAAUACCUCAUAGUAUUAUAGAAUGGCAUCAUUUUAUAAUUAAAGUCACAACGGUAAAGAUGAGCAUGCGUCCCAUUAGCUAGUUGGAAGG
rnacentral:rRNA from 1 species